AAUGGGGUCUAUAUAUGGUCUAUAUAUAUGCAUGCAUUGAUUUUAGUCAGUCCUCACAUAUUCACUAUUGCUUUUGCAUUUUGUAAUAUGUCUAGGAACAAGUUGAAACCAGUGUUAAAGUACAAGAGUUUUACAGAAGUAAAUCAGCUAAGUGCAAACGAACUUAAGGCCUUGUGUGUAAGACAUCGCAUCUCGAACACCUUGCCAAGGACAGCCCGUGUCAUUUUCUUGUGUCACCUUUUAGGUCUUAGUACCAUUGGAUGUGCUUCACCUGACUGUGGAUUUUUGACCAUAGGAGAAGAGCGACUUACUGCAGAGCAGAUCUUGACACUUCGGAAGCUUUCUCCAUUGAACCUUCUCCGUCUCAAGUCGUGGUCUCGUGACAUUUCUUCACUCCCUGACAUUGACGAGAAUGUUGUGAAUAAAAACCUCCUUGGAUGUAACAUUUUAGAUAAGAGUCAACUCAAGACAUACAAACUUUCUCGUGCAUAUCAGUUGAAGGACAACAUUCAUUCAGUGCUUGUGACACAACAUCCGGAAUAUUCUGAAUGUUAUUGCUCCCAGGCUAGGUGCAUUCCCUCGCAGAGCACACAGGCAGACGAUGUUAAAGUGCUUCACCUGGUGCUCGACACAGUCACUGGUGACCCCUGUUCUGCAUAUUGUACUUGUACUGUUGGAUUCACCCAGGCUUGUGGCCACAUCGGAGCUGUGCUGUGACUCUUGGCUAAGUGGCAGGCGCAUGGAGUCCUGACGGCCCCUGGUGAAGCUGCCUGUACAGACAGGCUCUGUCCAUGGAUUGACCCGAUACGCCACUGGAACAGUGAAACCCAAGCGGUUCCAGGACAUAGGUAACAAUGAUCUGUGCAACAAGAGGAGGAGAACUGCCUAUGAUUAUGGGUCCA